CAGGACGACGCUGACGGUGUGCUUUAGGCAUGCAAGUCGAACGAGAAAGCCCUUUGGGGUUAGUAAAGUGGCGAACGGGUGAGUAACACGUGGGCAACCUGCCCCUCGCAGGGGGACAACCGGAGGAAACUCCGGCUAAUACCCCGUACGCUUGUUGGAUCGCAUGGUCCGGCAAGGAAAGGUAGCUUCGGCCAUCCGGCGAGGGAUGGGCCCGCGUUGCAUUAGCUAGUUGGUAGGGUAACGGCCUACCAAGGCUACGAUGCGUAGCUGGUCUGAGAGGAUGAUCAGCCACACUGGGACUGAGACACGGCCCAGACUCCUACGGGAGGCAGCAGCCAGGAAUCUUGGGCAAUGGGCGAAAGCCUGACCCAGCAACACCGUGUGGGUGAUGAAGGCCUUAGGGUCGUAAAGCCCUGUUGAUAGGGACGAAGGGCGAAGGGUUAAUAGCCCGGAGCUUGACGGUACCUUUCGAGGAAGCCCCGGCUAACUACGUGCCAGCAGCCGCGGUAAUACGUAGGGGGCGAGCGUUGUCCGGAAUUAUUGGGCGUAAAGAGCGUGUAGGCGGUUCGGUAAGUCUGCUGUGAAAUCUUGGGGCUCAACCCUGAGCGUGCAGCGGAUACUGCCGGGCUAGAGGGUGGUAGAGGCGAGUGAAAUUCCGAGUGUAGCGGUGAAAUGCGCAGAUAUUCGGAGGAACACCAGUAGCGAAGGCGGCUCGCUGGGCCACACCUGACGCUGAGACGCGAAAGCGUGGGGAGCGAACAGGAUUAGAUACCCUGGUAGUCCACGCCGUAAACGAUGGAUACUGGGUGUGGGGGGAGUCGAAUCCCUCUGUGCCGAAGUUAACGCGUUAAGUAUCCCGCCUGGGGAGUACGGCCGCAAGGCUAAAACUCAAAAGAAUUGACGGGGGCCCGCACAAGCAGCGGAGCAUGUCUUU
rnacentral:rRNA from 1 species